rnacentral:rRNA from 1 species
UACGAAGGGUGCAAGCGUUACUCGGAAUUACUGGGCGUAAAGCGUGCGUAGGCGGUUUGUUAAGUCCGUUGUGAAAGCCCUGGGCUCAACCUGGGAAUUGCAGUGGAUACUGGCGAGCUAGAGUGCGGUAGAGGAUGGUGGAAUUCCCGGUGUAGCGGUGAAAUGCGUAGAGAUCGGGAGGAACACCCGUGGCGAAGGCGGCCAAUCUGGACCAGCACUGACGCUGAGGCACGGAAAGCGUGGGGAGCAAACAGG